UGGGGAAUAUUGGACAAUGGGCGAAAGCCUGAUCCAGCCAUGCCGCGUGUGUGAAGAAGGUCUUCGGAUUGUAAAGCACUUUAAGUUGGGAGGAAGGGCAGUAAGCGAAUACCUUGCUGUUUUGACGUUACCGACAGAAUAAGCACCGGCUAACUCUGUGCCAGCAGCCGCGGUAAUACAGAGGGUGCAAGCGUUAAUCGGAAUUACUGGGCGUAAAGCGCGCGUAGGUGGUUCGUUAAGUUGAAUGUGAAAGCCCCGGGCUCAACCUGGGAACUGCAUCCAAAACUGGCGAGCUAGAGUAGGGCAGAGGGUGGUGGAAUUUCCUGUGUAGCGGUGAAAUGCGUAGAUAUAGGAAGGAACACCAGUGGCGAAGGCGACCACCUGGGCUCAUACUGACACUGAGGUGCGAAAGAGUGGGGGGCAAACAGG
rnacentral:rRNA from 1 species